AGCACAACAGCUAGCCCAAAGCCUAACCCCAAUAUUAUUACAUAAAUAACCCCUAAAACACUAAAACACGUUUAUUAAAACAUUUUACCCACCAAGUAUGUGAGACAGAAAAGUGAAUUAUGGAGCAACAGAAAAAGUACCGUAAGGGAAUGCUGAAAGAGAAAUGAAAAAAACCAGUAAAGCCUAAAAAAGCAGAGAUAAAAACUCGUACCUUUUGCAUCAUGAAUUAGCCAGUAAACAUUAAGCAAAACGACUUUUAGUUUAAAUUCCCGAAACUAAGUGAGCUACUCCAAGACAGCCUAAAUAUAGGGCAAUACCCGUCUCUGUGGCAAAAGAGUGGGAAGAUCUUCGAGUAGAGGUGAUAGAUCUAUCGAACUUAGUUAUAGCUGGUUCCCUGAAAAAUGAAUAAAAGUUCAGCCUACUAUUUUCUUUACCCAAAACCAAGGCACACCCUAAUUAUAGUAUAUAAGAAACUAGUAGAGUUAGUCAAAGGGGGUACAGCCCCUUUGAAACAAGAUACAACUUUAUACAGGAGGUAAAAGAUUAUAAAUAAACAAGGUAUUAUGUUUUAGUGGGCUUAAGAGCAGCCACCCUAAAAGAAAGCGUCACAGCUCAAACAUAAACUAAACCUUAAAUUCUAAUAACUUCUUCUUUCACCCCUUUUAAUUAUCAGGGUAUUCUAUAAAACUAUAGAAGAAAUUAUGCUAAUAUGAGUAAUAAGAGGCCAGAUCCUCUCCCUACACAAGUGUACAUCAGAACAGACACCCUACUGAACAUUAACGGACCCAAAUAAAGAGGGAAGUAGAUUAAAAACAAAUAACCAGAAAACCUUCUAACUAAAACCGUUAACCCUACACUGGAGUGUAACCAGGAAAGACUAAAAGAAUAAUGAAGGAACUCGGCAAAUAUAAAUUUAAGCCUCGCCUGUUUACCAAAAACACCGCCUCUUGUAUUUUAAAAAUAAGAGGUCCCGCCUGCCCUGUGACACUAGUUUAACGGCCGCGGUAUUUUAACCGUGCGAAGGUAGCGCAAUCACUUGUCUUUUAAAUGGAGACCUGUAUGAAUGGCAUAACGAGGGCUUAACUGUCUCCAUUUUCCAGUCAAUGAAAUUGAUCCCCCCGUGCAGAAGCGGGGAUAAACACAUAAGACGAGAAGACCCUGUGGAGCUUUAGACUUAAAGAUGGCCCAUGUUAACUUAACCUAACCUAACAAGAAAAAACCAAUUGGUAACCUUCUUAAUGUCUUCGGUUGGGGCGACCACGGGGUAAUAAAAAACCCCCAUGUGGAAUGAGAAAACUUUUUCUCAUAACCUAGACUGACAAGUCCAAGCAUCAGAAUAUCUGACCAAUAAUGAUCCGGCAACGCCGAUCAACGAACCAAGUUACCCCAGGGAUAACAGCGCAAUCCUCUCCUAGAGCCCAUAUCGACGAGAGGGUUUACGACCUCGAUGUUGGAUCAGGACAUCCUAAUGGUGCAGCCGCUAUUAAGGGUUCGUUUGUUCAACGAUUAAAGUCCUACGUGAUCUGAGUUCAGACCGGAGUAAUCCAGGUCAGUUUCUAUCUAUGAUAUGUCUUCUUCUAGUACGAAAGGACCGGAGAAGAAAGGCCCCUACUCAUGGCACGCCUUACUCUAACCUGAUGACCCCCACUAAAGCAGAUAAUAGAGCAUACAUUUUAAGCCAAAGAAAAUGGCAU
rnacentral:rRNA from 1 species